GAUAGAUGAUUGGGGUGAAGUCGUAACAAGGUAGCCGUAUCGGAAGGUGCGGCUGGAUCACCUCCUUUCUAAGGAA
rnacentral:rRNA from 2 species